rnacentral:tRNA from 1 species
AUUAGAAUAGUUAAAAGAACUCUUGAUUUCUACUCAGGAGAUCUGAGAUCUAUUCUUGGUUUUACUA